UAAUAGGCGUGUUUCUAGUGUGGGAAAGCAAGCUGGGUGUAGAAGUGAUCUGUCCCGUCCCUGGCAUCACCUGAUCAGACUUUUAGGAGAACUGAGUGUAUAAGAAUCAAGCAAGAGGAGACACACUUAAUAGGCGUGUUUCUAGUGUGGG